rnacentral:rRNA from 1 species
AUUUAAUUUUUUAAUUAAAAAAAUUUUAAUUAUAUAUAAACAAAAAAAAAACAUAAUAAAAAAAAUUAAUUAAUUAAAUGAAUUAAUAAAAUAUUUUUUUAUAGCGUGCCAGCAAAUGCGGUUAAACGAUUAAUUUAAAUUAAGUUUAAAAUUUAAACUAAAAAAAAACAAAAAAAAGAUUUUUAAAGUAAAAUUUAAAAAAAUUAAUAUAGUUUUUUAAGUUAAAAAUUAAAAAAUAAAUUAAUUGGAUUAGAUACCCAAGUAAAAAAAUUUUUUAGUAAUAAACUUAUAGAGUUAAACUAGAAAUUAUUGGCGGUAAAAUAUUAUAGUUAAAGGGUCUUGAUUAUUUAUAGAAAAUACACAUUAGAAAAAAACUUAAAAUUUUCAAUUUAUUUAUCUCCGUAAAAAAAGUAAAAUAUUAAUUUUAAUUAAAAAAAAAUUUUAUAAAGUUACAGGUCAAGAUAUAAUUUAAAUAAAAGUUUAAUUUAGACACAAAAAAAAAUUAUUCAAUUAAAGAAUUUAAUAGUAAUAAAUAAUUUUUUUUUAAAAAAAAUAUGAAAUAAUUAUUUUAUGUACAUAUUGCCCAUCACUUUCAUUAUUAAAAUGAAAUAAGUUGAAACAUAGUAGAAAUAUAAGAAUAUGUUUCUAA